rnacentral:rRNA from 1 species
UAGGGAAUAUUAGUAAUGGGCGAAAGCCUGAACUAGCAACGCCGCGUGUGCGAAGAAGGCCUUCGGGUUGUAAAGCACUUUUUGAGAGGUUGGGGAAGGACGGUACUCUCAGAAUAAGUCUCGGCUAACUACGUGCAAGCAGCCGCGGUAACACGUAGGAGGCGAACGUUUUCCGGAUUUACUGGGCGUAAAGCGCGUGUAGGUGGUUUGGUAAGUAGGGCGUGAAAGCUCCUGGCUCAACUGGGAGAGGCCGUUCUAAACUGCCGAACUAGAGGAUGGUAGAGGGAGGUGGAAUUCCGGGUGUAGCGGUGGAAUGCGCAGAUAUCCGGAGGAACACCAGUGGCGAAAGCGGCCUCCUGGACCAUUCCUGACACUCAGACGCGAAAGCUAGGGUAGCAAACGG